UUUAGCUUGGUCGGUGCACAGAAACGCACGUUUCGUGAGAAUCCUCCAGUCCAAAAUGGAGAGAAAGAGAAAAGGGGGUGCAGAGAAACUGCGAGACAAGAAGAGGCUUGCUCUUCAAGCCAAUGCUGCCAAAUGUGGCAAAAUAUCAGAAAUGUUUGCCACGGCAGGGCCAUCCUCAGCUCCCGUGGAUGACAGUGAUGCUGGUGGCGAUACGAUACAACGACCUACGGUACACACCCAGUCGGAUGAACUCUACCCAUUACUGUGAUGGACGUGGAGUAUACUUUUUUUGUUAAUAAAUAACACCUUUUGGAAGUGUAUAAUGCGUCCACUCUCACUGAUUGAUUUUAACUCAUUGCAUGGCUUAAGGUAUGUGGAAAAUAGUUGCACAGUUGGAGUCAGGCUUUUAGCUAGGAUUUUUUGUACAGCACUUGAUAGUUUUUAGGUAAUAUUACAAUUACACUGAUUUAUUUAUAUGUUUAGUAAUUUAAUACAUAAUAACAGUGAGUGUAACUGAAACUAGGCAACAAGGUACAAAAUUCAAGUAACAACUUUAACAAAAAGAAACAACUUUCUACACAACUUUAAAGUGUAUGAUGUAUAUUGUAUUGUAUUGAAUUUAGAUUAACUAAGACCACCACCUUAACACACAAACUCUUGUUGAACUCAUAAAGUAGUAGGUUCAGUGACGUGCGGUGAGACAGCUGUCUUCUGUAGCUUAUGCGAGCCCGUGAAUCAAUGUUUCGUUGGAAUCAUGAUGUAACGUUGUUGUAGCGGGAAUACAGCAAUGCUAUUUUCUAAUUGGCAGGGCAUAUGUAUGAUUCUAGACUUCGCUAGGGCACUGAAGCGACUGAAACGGUGAACUUUGAUCACAUUCAGCCAAGUUAACAGGUAAAACGGGAGAAAAAUAGGGCGUCUUUAGGCCGUCCUGCCUAAAAGUAGGGCGUCCCAUUUCUUCUUAUUUUUUAGUAGACUAUAGGGCAGACGCCCUGCUAGCUAAAAGCCUGGUUGGUGUAGACAUUCGAGAGACCAAAAAGACUGAAAAGGUGUGUUAUCGAAUUUAGUGGGC